rnacentral:rRNA from 1 species
GAAUUCGAUUCAGGCCUAACACAUGCAAGUCGAACAACAGCACGGACUUCGGUCUGGUGGCGAGUAAAAAACGGGUGAGUAAUGCAUCGGAACGUGCCCAAUCGUGGGGGAUAACGUAGCGAAAGUUACGCUAAUACCGCAUACGAUCUAAGGAUGAAAGCGGGGGAUCGCAAGACCUCGCGCGAAUGGAGCGGCCGAUGUUAGAUUAGGUAGUUGGUGGGGUAAAGGCUCACCAAGCCGACGAUCUAUAGCUGGUCUGAGAGGAAAAAAAGCCACACUGGUUCUGUGGGGAGGCCCAGACUCCUACGGGAGGCAGCAGUGGGGAAUUUUGGACAAUGGGCGCAAGCCUGAUCCCUUCAAGGGGCGUGCAGGAUGAAGGCCCUCGGGUUGU